AAAACUUUCAACAACGGAUCUCUUGGUUCUGGCAUCGAUGAAGAACGCAGCGAAAUGCGAUAAGUAAUGUGAAUCGCAGAAUUCAGUGAAUCAUCGAAUCUUUGAACGCACAUUGCACCCUCUGGCACCCAGGGGGUAUGCCUGUCCGAGCGUCGUC
rnacentral:rRNA from 2 species